rnacentral:rRNA from 1 species
AUUGAACGCUGGCGGCAGGCCUAACACAUGCAAGUCGAGCGAGCGGCGGACGGGUGAGUAAUGUCUGGGAAACUGCCUGAUGGAGGGGGAUAACUACUGGAAACGGUAGCUAAUACCGCAUACCAUCAGAUGUGCCCAGAGGGGAUUAGCUAGUAGGUGGGGUAACGGCUCACCUAGGCGACGAUCCCUAGCUGGGCUGAGAGGAUGACCAGCCACACUGGAACUGGGACACGGUCCAGAGUCCUACGGUAGGCAGCAGGUGGGAAUAUUGCACACUUGGGGCAAGCCUGAUGCAGCCAUGCCGCGUGUAUUAAGAAGGCCUUCGGGUUGUAAAGUACUUUCAGCGGGGAGGCGUUACCCGCAGAAGAAGCACCGGCUAACUCCGUGCCAGCCGCCGCGGUAAUAC